rnacentral:rRNA from 1 species
UACAGCGGGUGCAAGCGUUAAUCGGAAUUACUGGGCGUAAAGCGUGCGUAGACGGUCAUGUAAGUCGGGUGUGAAAGCCCCGGGCUCAACCUGGGAAUUGCAUUCGAGACUGCAUGGCUAGGGUGCGGAAGAGGGAAGCGGAAUUUCCGGUGUAGCGGUGAAAUGCGUAGAUAUUGGGAAGAACACCUGAGGCGAAGGCGGGUUGCUGGGCUGACACUGACGCUGAGGCGCGAAAGCCAGGGGAGCGAACGGG